rnacentral:rRNA from 1 species
UACGGAGGGUGCAAGCGUUAUCCGGAUUUACUGGGUUUAAAGGGUGUGUAGGCGGACUAUUAAGUCAGUGGUGAAAUCCCGAGGCUCAACCUCGGAACUGCCUUUGAUACUAUUAGUCUUGAAUGUUGUUGAGGUGGGCGGAACGGGUCAUGUAGCGGUGAAAUGCGUAGAGAUGUGGAGGAACACCAGUGGCGAAGGCGGCUUUCUGGUCUGUAACUGACGCUGAGGCGCGAAAGCGUGGGGAGCAAACAGG